CCCCGGGAACUCACUUCUCCCCCGUUGCACUAGUGAUGGGUUUUGAGGAGCAGUGAUGUGAUUGUGGCCACUGGGAAUGAAGAACUGUUGGCAGCUUCCGGGAAAGUUCUCUUCUGCACUGUGCGUUGUCAUGUCUAGGCACGAUGCUUGGCGACAGGCAGCCGUCUUGUGACCGUGAGGAAAAGCGUGGCUGCCCCUUGGCCACGGCAGGCGUGAUGGCUGAGAGCAGCCUCGUCCUUGCUGGCGCUGCUGAGCCACUCAAUUAGCCAGCAGCGGAGCCCCUUCGCCUCUGGCCACCUCGGCACAGGACAGCAGAAGGCCCCACCUGAGCCAGGCCUCGGGGGGUGGGGAUCUGACCUGCAGCCCAUGAGGUGCCCUUGACCGGGAAUCGAACCCACAACCCUCCGGUGUGCAGGCCGACACUCUAACCACUGAGCCAGGCUGGCUAGGGCAGGAUUCCUCUUCAUCAUCCCAAGCGCCCUUGCUGGAUCUCAUCAGAGGGCACCGCUACGCUACACGGCCUCCCCUCCACCCCCAGAAGUGGCCUCGAUCUUUACUCAGGAUAAAGUAACAUAAGCAGCUGAGCCCAGAGCGGACUCAGAGAAAGUUGGUGGCUGUGCCAGAAGCAGACGCUGCCCACCUUCUCCAUUUAUAAAUAUUUACAGUU